GAACACCGUCUCCAAAAAAUCAGCGAGGCGAGUUUCGGGGAAGGAUUAGAGACGGCCAAAAACCGUCGCCAAUCAUCAAUUAGCGAUGGUUUUUGAUGAUUAGAGACGGUUUCUAGCGAAGCCAGUAAUCUGGUAGUGGUUGCACACUUGCACUUCAUUGUUUCCAUUUGUUGGGUUGUUUACAUCUUGAGUUAUUACUUCUAGUUGCCCUCUUUAUAACUGUUGUUCAGACCUUGGGUUGUUUGCCUGAGCUAGUGUUUGUGUUGUAAUUGGUUCAAAACGAAGACUUAUUAAAUACAAAAGAAUUGUUUGUCAUUAAAAUAUUACUUUUGGUGAGAAGUUAAUUCCAGCCGUUGAAUUUUGUUCCUGAAAUAUAGAUAUAUAUAUAUACAGGAAAAAUCAGGUGCGGUUAGUGUCGUUCCCUCCAACGGUAAGGUACCACCCUCCCCCACCUUCCGAUUGGACAUCCACGGUUGAUUUGUCUUCCGUCGACCGUUCCAACAAACAAUCGCGAGACCCAUCUUCGCGGGAGGUAAGGUAGAUACUGCAUCGGAGGCAGGGAGCUCCAUCUUCGCGAGUACUGCAUCUACUCGCGAUUGCCGGACCCCAUCUUCGCGAUUGCAGGACAGGCACGGGAACUCGCGAUUGCCGGACUCGCGAUUGCAGGUCUCCCGAACCCAUCUUCGGGAACUCGCGAUUGCAGGUCCAACGUUCGGACCCGCGAUUGCAGGUCUCGCGAUUGCAGGUCUCGCGAUUGCCGGACUCGCGAACCCAUCUUCGGGAACCCAUCUUCGGACUCGCGAUUGCAGGUCUCGCGAUUGCCGGACUCGCGAUUGCAGAACCACCGGAUGGGUUCACCGCCACCGGAUGGGUUCACGAUCUGGUGUCCGCAUGGAACGGCACAUCCGUUCCAG
rnacentral:lncRNA from 1 species